CGCGAUUCGCCCUUCGGGGUGCCCAGGCGCGAAAACUUUACAAUGCUGGCAACAGCGAUAAGGGGACCUCGAGUGCCAGGAUACAAUCUUGGCUGUCGUGAUGCCUAAAAAGCAUUACAUAGCAAGGGCCGGGCAAGACCGGUGCCAGCCGCCGCGGUAACACCGGCGGCUCGAGUGGUAACCGCUAUUAUUGGGUCUAAAGGGUCUGUAGCCGGCCGGAUAAGUCUUUUGGGAAAUCCAGCUGCUCAACAGUUGGGCUUUCAGAAGAUACUGUUCGGCUCGAGGCCGGGAGAGGUGAGAGGUACUUCAGGGGUAGGGGUGAAAUCUUGUAAUCCUUGAAGGACCACCAGUGGCGAAGGCGUCUCACCAGAACGGUCCUGACGGCAAGGGACGAAAGCUAGGGGCACGAACCGGAUUAGAUACCCGGGUAGUCCUAGCCGUAAACGAUACUCGCUAGGUGUCAGCCACGGUGCGACCGUGGUUGGUGCCGUAGGGAAGCCGUGAAGCGAGCCACCUGGGAAGUACGGCCGCAAGGCUGAAACUUAAAGGAAUUGGCGGGGGAGCAC
rnacentral:rRNA from 1 species